CACAAAGGCUUGGUCCUGACUUUGCCAUCAGCUCUAACUAAACUUACACAUGCAAGUAUCCGCACCCCCGUGAGAAUGCCCUUGUGCUUCCUGGAUGGAAACAAGGAGCCGGUAUCAGGCACAAUCUCCUAGCCCAUGACGCCUUGCUAAGCCACACCCUCAAGGGAAUUCAGCAGUGACAAAUAUUAAGCCAUGAGUGAAAACUUGACUUAGUUAAUGUUAACAGGGCCGGUAAACCUCGUGCCAGCCACCGCGGUUAUACGAGGGACCCAAGUCGAUGGCCCACGGCGUAAAGAGUGGUUAAGAUUUGACAACAACUAAAGCUAAAAAGCUUCAAAGCUGUUAUACGCGCAUGAAGACAUGAGACCCAAUUACGAAAGUAGCUUUAAACUUCUGAACCCACGAAAGCUAUGGUACAAACUGGGAUUAGAUACCCCACUAUGCUUAGCCCUAAACUGAGAUAAACACCUUACUUAACUUAUCCGCCCGGGUACUACGAGCACCAGCUUGAAACCCAAAGGACUUGGCGGUGCUUUAGAUCCACCUAGAGGAGCCUGUUCUAGAACCGAUAAUCCCCGUUAAACCUCACCUUUCCUUGUCAUAUUCCGCCUAUAUACCGCCGUCGUCAGCUUACUCUGUGAAGAUCUUGAAGUAGGCACAACCGGCACAGCCUCAAACGCCAGGUCGAGGUGUAGCGAAUGGAAGGGGAAGAAAUGGGCUACAUUCAAUACCAGUAUUGAAUACGAAUGAUGUCCUGAAAAGGACACCUGAAGGAGGAUUUAGCAGUAAGCAGAGAAUAGAGUGCCCUGCUGAAACUGGCCCUGAAGCGCGUACACACCGCCCGUCACUCUCCCCGAGCUAAUGUAGCACCCAUUACUAAUAAACGAAACCUGCAAAGGGGAGGCAAGUCGUAACAUGGUAAGCGUACCGGAAGGUGCGCUUG
rnacentral:ncRNA from 1 species